UACAGAGGGGGCGAGCGUUGUUCGGAAUUACUGGGCGUAAAGGGCGCGUAGGCGGCCUUCUAAGUCGAACGUGAAAUCCCCGGGCUCAACCCGGGAACUGCGUCCGAUACUGGGAGGCUUGAAUCCGGGAGAGGGAUGUGGAAUUCCAGGUGUAGCGGUGAAAUGCGUAGAUAUCGAGAGGAACACCUGCGGCGAAGGCGGCCUCUGGACGGAUACUGACGCUAAUACGCGAAAGCGUGGGAGCAACAGG
rnacentral:rRNA from 1 species